AUUGAACGCUAGCGGGAUGCUUUACACAUGCAAGUCGAAUGGCAGCACGAAAAGAGCUUGCUCUUUUUGGUGGCGAGUGGCGAACGGGUGAGUAAUGUAUCGGAACGUACCCAGUAGCGGGGGAUAACUACGCGAAAGCGUGGCUAAUACCGCAUACGCCCUACGGGGGAAAGGGGGGGAUCGCAAGACCUCUCACUAUUGGAGCGGCCGAUAUCGGAUUAGCUAGUUGGUGGGGUAAAGGCUCACCAAGGCAACGAUCCGUAGCUGGUUGGAGAGGACGGCAGGCGGCACUGGAGCUUGGACGCGGACCAGAGUCCUAAGAGAGGCAGCAGUGGGGAAUUGUAGACAAUGGGGGAGACCCUGGUCCAGCGGGCCCGCGUGUGAGAUGAAGGCCUUCGGGUUGUAAAGAACGUUUGGGGGUGAAGAAACGCCGCUGACUAAUACGUGGCGUGACUGACGGUACCUGCAGAAUAAGCACCGGCUAACUACGUG
rnacentral:rRNA from 1 species